rnacentral:rRNA from 1 species
AUGGAGAUGACUGUUAACGGGAGGGACACCGAGCACCACCACCACCUUGGUCUUGCCCUCGGCCUCGGCCUCGGGCUCAGUCUCGGCAUGUCUGGUACGACGUCUCCAGUGGAGCCGGCGGCACCCCAGACCGCUGCUGCGCCGUCGUCGAAGCUGGGGCUGGGGCAGCAGUCCUGGAAUGGCGCCGGCCUUUUCUUUCCGGCCUCCUCCGGCGAGCAACGCUCGCAUGCAGAUGACCGGAGGCUUGCGGCGUUGGCGUGCCACGAGAUGCCGUUCCUGCGCGGGAUCGACGUCAACCGAGCGCCGACCACGGGGGGCGCGAGGGGCAGCUGCGGUGCCAGCGAGGACGAGGAGCCCGGCGCGUCGUCGCCCGACAGCACGCUGUCCAGCCUCAGCGGCAAGCGCGGCGCGCCAACGAGGAGCGCCGGCGGCGAGCAGGAGCGUACCGGCGCGGGCAGCGACGACGAGGACGACUCCGGGGCCGGCGGCGGCGGGUCGCGCAAGAAGCUCCGCCUGUCCAAGGACCAGUCCGCUGUCCUCGAGGACAGCUUCAAGGAGCACAGCACCCUCAACCCCAAGCAGAAGGCGGCGCUGGCGAGGCAGCUGGGGCUGCGGCCGCGGCAGGUGGAGGUGUGGUUCCAGAACCGGAGGGCGAGGACGAAGCUGAAGCAGACGGAGGUGGACUGCGAGUCGCUCAAGCGCUGCUGCGAGACGCUCACGGAGGAGAACCGCCGGCUGCAGCGGGAGGUGCAGGAGCUGCGCGCGCUCAAGCUGCUCGCCCCGCCGGCGCCGCACCUCUACAUGCGCGCGCCGCCGCCCACCACGCUCACCAUGUGCCCCUCCUGCGAGCGCGUCGCGCCCUCCGGCAAGCCGGUCGUCGACGAGAGCCGUGCCGCCAUGGUGACCCGGGCCGUGCCGACCGGGCCGUGGGGCCCCGUCCCGGUGCUGCCCGUGUUCCUGGGCAGGCCGGCCCAGAGGUCAUGA